GAUGAACGCUGGCGGCGUGCCUAAUACAUGCAAGUCGAGCGAACAGACGAGGAGCUUGCUCCCCUGUCGGUAGCGGCGGGCGGGUGUGUAACAAGUGGAUAAUCUCCCUAUAAAACUGGGAGAACUUCGGGAAACGGGCGCUAAUACCGAAUAAUACAUUAAACGAUAGGGUCCAAUAGUAAAAGCUGGUUUGGCAGUCAAUAACACACGAAUCCGCGCCGCAUUAGCUAGUUGGUAAGGUAACGGCUUACCAAGGGAACGAAGCGUAGCCGACCUGAGAGGGUGGUCGGCCACCCUGGAACUGAGACACGGUCCAGACUCCUACGGGAGGACGCAGUAGGGAAUCUUCCGCAAAGGAGGAAAGCCUGACGGAGCAACGCGGCGUGAGUGAUGAAGGUGUUCGGAUCGUAAAACUCUGUUAUUAGGAAAGAACAAAUGUGUAAGUAACUAUGCACGUCUUGACGGUACCUAAUCAGAAAGCCACGGCUAACUACGUG
rnacentral:rRNA from 1 species